rnacentral:rRNA from 1 species
UACGUAGGGGGCAAGCGUUAUCCGGAUUUACUGGGUGUAAAGGGAGCGUAGACGGCCAGACAAGUCUGAAGUGAAAAUCCAGCGCUUAACGUUGGAAGUGCUUUGGAGACUGCCGGGCUGGAGUGCAGGAGGGGCAGGCGGAAUUCCUAGUGUAGCGGUGAAAUGCGUAGAUAUUAGGAGGAACACCAGUGGCGAAGGCGGCCUGCUGGACUGCAACUGACGUUGAGGCUCGAAGGCGUGGGGAGCAAACAGG